rnacentral:misc_RNA from 1 species
CUGCGGAGGGAUCAUUACCGAGUUUACAACUCCCAAACCCCUGUGAACAUACCUAUUGUUGCUUCGGCGCGUGCGCCCCGGUCGGUCUUCGGGCCCCCGGAUCCAGGUGCCCGCCGGAGGUCUCAAACUCUUGUAUUUAUGAAGUAUUUUCUGAGUAAACAAGCAAAUAAAUCAAAACUUUCAACAACGGAUCUCUUGGUUCUGGCAUCGAUGAAGAACGCAGCGAAAUGCGAUAAGUAAUGUGAAUUGCAGAAUUCCGUGAAUCAUCGAAUCUUUGAACGCACAUUGCGCCCGCCAGUAUUCUGGCGGGCAUGCCUGUUCGAGCGUCAUUUCAACCCUCAAGCCCCAGCGGCUUGGUGUUGGGGCUCGGCCCGUCCCUAGCGGCGGACCGUCCCCGAAAUCUAGUGGCGGUCUCGCUGUAGCCUCCUCUGCGUAGUAGCUAACACCUCGCAACGGGAACGCAGCUUGGCCACGCCGUUAAACCCCCCACUUCUGAAGGUUGACCUCGGAUCAGGUAGGAAUACCCGCUGAACUUAAGCAUAUCAAUA